rnacentral:rRNA from 1 species
GUGUCAGCAGCCGCGGUAAUACGGAGGAUGCAAGCGUUAUCCGGAUUCAUUGGGUUUAAAGGGUGCGCAGGCGGAUUGGUAAGUCAGUGGUGAAAUCCUACGGCUCAACUGUAGAACUGCCAUUGAUACUGCCAAUCUUGAGUACACUUGAAGUGGGCGGAAUGUGUCAUGUAGCGGUGAAAUGCUUAGAUAUGACACAGAACACCGAUCGCGAAGGCAGCUCACUAAAUUGUAACUGACGCUCAUGCACGAAAGCGUGGGGAUCAAACAGGAUUAGAAACCCCCGUAGUCC